UUGAAUCCUGCUAAAAAUAAUAUAAAUGGUCUUUAGAAUCAAAUUGGUGGUGUCAAGAGCAGUAAGUAAUUGCAAGUUGUGAAAGAGGAUUAAGACAUUACAUUGGACAGGCUCACAUUUUGGCGGACAGUGAAAAUUGUUUAAGCUAAAUCUCUUAAGCUGCUGGGUGUUUAAUUCUUUUUCUGAAUGAAAAUUGAGUUAUGUCUAUUGCAACCGGAAUUACAGAGAUAAUGUUUUUGUUUGUGUCAUAUAGCUUUUUAUUUUCUCUUUUUAGAGGGAUCUGCAAUUGAGAGAGCUGAUUGUUUUUGUUCAGAGGUGGGGCAUCCGAUGAUUUCUUUUCAGACAAAUGAAGCUGGGAAUCAGAUUGGUUUGUGUUUUAAUUAUGAUAUAAUUCUACAUGUUUAUCAGUUUUACCAUGUUUUUGUGUUACUGUUUUUUAGGUUGCAUGUUAACUGCAACAGACUACUAACACAGGCGUUGGAUGCCACAGCUGACACUGCUGUAAUGGUAAUAGACACUUAUGUUUUACACAGAAAGCUUCAAGUUUGGAAAGCUGAUGGUUGAAAGCUUGGUGCUUCUGAGGGAUCUACCUUCCAGAUUAUGUUUACAUUAGCAAGCUGAUGGUUUGUGUGUGUCUUCUUUUUUUACAGAAAGCUUGAAAUGGGCAUGCUGAUGAUCGGCAUUUGUGUACUUGCUGUCUUACUACUAGAUAUCAAACUAAAUGGCUUAGAUAGGCUUCAGACGAGCAAGGUGAUGGUUUGUACUUCUGUUUUACAGGUUGCAUGUUAACUGCAACAGACUACAAAGACAGGUGUUGGAUGCCACAGCUGACACUGCUCUCAACUAGAGAAAUGAAAGUAAUGGACAUCUAAACUGUGUGUUUGCUCUGCCAAACUGAAGGCAAAGACUGAUGCUUGUUGUCUUAUUUUAUGGUCAUUAUUAGAAGUGAAGUUCAAGCAUAUGUAACUUUGGACUAUUCUGGCUCAGAAGAAUAUGGGGCUCUUGCCAUCAAACCCAGAAGGAGCAAUGACUGUUAAAAUCAAUACAGAUUUUGCAUUUUGCAAAGGAUGAAGUUGAGGGUUACGAGGAUGAUGAUGAUAGUUUAAAUGGGAAAUGGUGAUCAAAAGCACACAGUUCACAUGAUGAUACUGGAGAGAAUGGAGUGACAAGCAGAUGUAGAAGAAAAAGGCCAGCUGCAAACUUUCCAAGAAGAUACAGUCCAGCAGUCAAUUGUCCUGGAAGAUACAGUAUGGAUGUGGAUCUGUAGUAACUAAAGUGUUUUCUAUCUCUGUAAUGCAUGGUGAUGAUGAUGAUGAUGACAGACAAUUAAUAAUGAUGACAUGGCUGUUGGGUGUAUUCAAGCAUAACAAAGGAAAUGGACACCUUGUGGGAGGAAAAACCGAGACCACUUUUCUGUGGUACAAGAUGGAUGGUACCUCCAAAUUUUAGGUGUAUUUUGACAUACCUAUACCUGAGGAACGUGGAAGUCGGAUCAUACUGGAAGAUUAAGUGUUUGCCAUUUAGGAGCCAAUAAAGUCCCUCCCUUAGGAUUUGAUCCAGAACCUUCGUAAAGUUUCUUACAUGACCAGGAAGUCUUUCCGAAAACCAACACCUGUACCAUGGAUAUUAAAGGACUAUGCAACUUUUAAAUCAAAUAUGGCGUUUGGUAUUCUGGAGUCUGGUACUGACUGGAGUCUUUCACAAUUUCAGUAGAGAUGUUAUUGAGGAGUUUAGGGAAAUUCUCAUUUAUGAUCUUGGAAACAUUUUAACAAACUAUGAACUGAUACAGAAAAAGGAAAAUUAAUGUCAAAGCAAAUUUUGGUACACAGGAGCACUCUAGAAAGUUGAUGUUUGUUGCAUAUAAUUCAUCAUGGACAGCAAACUUUAUAUAUUCUCCAGAUUAUAAAAGUGACAUUAAUUGUGUAAUAAAAUAAGCAAAUAGUUUUGAAGUUUGUCAGCUGAUAAAACUGUGUAAGCGUAGGAAGACACAUCAAAAGAACUUGGUGUCUUUGUGUGGGGCCACUUGCUAAAAUAAUUUCAUUUUACCAAAAUGUUACAUUUCAACUGAUAUUUAAAAGCAAUUUCACAAGUAUAUGCUUCUUAGCAGCAAAAUCAAAUAGAUUGAUUAUUCAACAUACUGUUAAAGUUGUGAAUUAAGGGUUUGAACGGUGUAUCUUGAUGUACAGACACUAGGUAGUUCUUUAACCUUUAGCUUGCUAAAUUUCUUUAAUGGACUGGUUCAUCAUUCAAUUUGGGCAGUACCAUUUAUCAUUUGAAGGGGUGUUCACUGAAAAUUUACAGACUGCAAGGAUGUGCAGGCUGAUCUUGGUCUGCACUGGUCGCAAAGGCAGAAACACUUGCCGCCAGCAAGCUAAGGGUUUAAAGAUGCCUCAGUUGAUAUUCAUAUAUCUCGAGGUGAACAUUUUUCAUAUCAACCUCUUAGUAAUGUAACAUUUAUUUUAUUGUACCGAAAACAUACAGAAGUCAACACAUUGGAAAAUCAACAUAUGAGUUAAAAGAUUUAUUGAAAUUAUCAUUAAAAGUUAGACUGUUAACACUUAUUUUUAGCUUAAAUUUUCGAAGCAAAAAGAGAGCUAUUGCAGUCUCGCCUCAGCGUUGGUGUCGCAGUUGGUUAAAGUUUAUGAUAAAGUCAAAUAUGUCUGUUACUUUCAAAGCUAUUGACUUGAAACUUAAAUAGUUAUUUACUAUCAAAGUCUACACCAGGAGAAUCAAUCCUCAUAACUCUGAUUUGAAUUUUGACAGAGUUAUGCCCCUUUUUAACUUAGAAUUGUUUGGUUAAAGUUUUUGAUAAAGUUAAAUAUCUCUGUUACUAUCAAAGCUUUUGACUUGAAACUUAAAACACUUAUUUACUAUUAAAGGAGAAACAAUCCCAUAAUUUUGUUUAAUUUUGACAGAGUUAAGCCCCUUUUUAACUUAUAAUUACUUGAUAAAGUCAAAUGUCCCUGUUACUAUCAAAACUUGUGACUUGAAACUUAAAAUAGUUAUAUGCUAUCAAAGUCUACAUCAGGAGAAACAAUCCUCAUAACUCUGAUUUGAAUUUCGACAGAGUUAUGCCCCUUUUUAACAUAGAAUGUUUCGGUUAAAUUUCUAUAAAGUUUUUACUGGCAUAGCGCUAAUUCGGAGUCAAGCACUGAGAAAAGUGAAGCGUGCUUUCUUUCGGAUAGCACUUGUAUUAAAGACAGUAGGAGUCUUAAAUACUGGACAGCACUCCAAAAAUUUGCUGAAUUUACUACAAGGUUUUAAUGCUUCCUGAAUGGGUGGGGGCGUAGUUGUCACCUUGUCCGUCUGUCCAAAUUUGUGUCAUUCAUAUCUCUAAAAGUAUUUGACCCAGUCAUCAAACCUCGCAUGAUUGUUAAUCAGUGUGAGAUGGGACCAGGGGUUUUAAUUUGGAUCUCACACAGUCAGACUAGAGUUAUGGCCCUUGACUUAAUGUUGCAUAUAUCUACAAAAUUUGCAUAGUCAUGAAAUCAUGUAAGAGUACAUGUAUUAUCCAUCAUGUAAUUUUGUGCACUUGAGUUUUUGUGUGUUUUUUUUUCACUUUGCAAGACCAGAGUUAUGGCCCUUGACUUAGUCGAAAAAUCAAAGUUUUAUUCAGCAUGUAUGUCAAAAUUUAUUUGAUCUAGAGUCAUUAAACAUUAGAGGAUUGUUUUAUAGCCUAUGAAAUUUUGCUCCGGGUGUUCUCUUUGGGAUUUUACUCAGCUAGGCCAGAGUUAUGGUCCUUCACCAAGUAAAAAAUACACAUAAAGUUCCUAAAGGUUUUUGUUGCAAACAAUUUAAAAAAUAUGUAACCUUUAGUCAUAAAACCAUAUACA